CUACGGGACGCAGCAGUGGGGAAUAUUGGACAAUGGGGGAAACCCUGAUCCAGCAAUGCCGCGUGUGUGAAGAAGGCCUGCGGGUUGUAAAGCACUUUCGGUUGGGAGGACUGCUUCUAGCACUAAUAUUGUUGGAAGUUGACGUUACCUUCAGAAGAAGCACCGGCUAACUCCGUGCCAGCAGCCGCGGUAAUACAGAGGGUGCAAGCGUUAAUCGGAAUUACUGGGCGUAAAGCGCGCGUAGGCGGCUAGAUCAGUCGGGUGUGAACGCCCCGGGCUUAACCUGGGAACUGCAUCCGAUACUGUCUAGCUUGAGUACAGGAGAGGAGAGUGGAAUUCCACAUGUAGCGGUGAAAUGCGUAGAUAUGUGGAGGAACACCAAUGACGAAGGCAGCUCUCUGGCCUGAUACUGACGCUGAGGUGCGAAAGCGUGGGGAGCAAACAGGAUUAGAUACCCGCGUAGUC
rnacentral:rRNA from 1 species